UUUUUUCGUACGCGUAGUCAUCGGCUUGUGACACCACCAAAAUACGUGUCUUCUUCUCUUUCUUUUGAUCCUUCCAGCUCACUCUCUACUCCGAUGCGGAUCCACUCACACUCGCUUCUUAAUCCCUCCAUCAAUAUUUCUUCUCUCUUCCACCGCCAUCCGUAUCCUUUACCGUUUCUCUCUUCUCGCUGAUGCACACUGCUUUGGAAAUACCCUCAUCCAUCUUCUAUUUCUCUUCUACAUCCACCGAAAAGGGUCGCCGACCAACCCACUUCGGUUGUUUGUCUUCUGCUGCUACAGCUGAUUCCCAGCAAAAUUCCGGGUUCGUUUGUACCUUUCGCUCAAUCUCCACCUUUUAAGUUUUCUAAUGUGUCUUUUCUAAAAAGACUCGAUUUACCGUCGCCCACAGCAAAUGAGACCCUCUUCAUUGUCAAUCCCGUUCUCAAUCUUUCAACUUCUACCCAGAUGAACGAUUAAAAGAAAAAAGGUGUAUAUGUUUGUAUCCAACCUACGGAUUCAGUACCAAGGGCAAACCCAGAUAGGUGAAGAGACCGCUGGAUGAGAAGUCACACCCACACCUUGUGUUGGAUUCCAUCUGAUUUAUAAGGUUUCAUGAAUGAUCGUUUCAAUUUUCUGCAUACAAAGUUUUUAUUACAUUAUUUUUUUAAUUUUUUUGCUAAAUUGAAGAUUUAGGGUUCUUGAUGGCUACUGAUGCACUUCCAGUUGCUUACGGAACUUCUCAUGUGACAUUCGUUCAUAGAGCCAAUCGCAAGUCUGAUGAGGGCAUCUUCAGACAAUAUAGUUGGGGAUAAAGUUCUACCCACCAGGUAUUCGAUGAAAUGCCUAACUCACAUUUCUUGUUUUUCUUCUCUUGGUUUUAGAUGUAGUUUAUGAUUUCACAACCGGAUUUCAUAUCAUUUUAUUGUUGUGAUUAAUGAAGAAUUUAGGGUUUCAGUUCGUUAUAAUCGUGGUAAUGAAGGGAGUGCUCACCAAAAGUAAUGACCUCCAAAUCAUUUGUUCUUUAUUGUUAAAAUUUUCAAAUACAUUUCUUUAUAUCAUCAGUAAUUAACUUAAAAUUGUAAACUAAAUACUUAUUUUAUAUUCAUCAUUCAAUUUAAUUUGCAGACAAAGACUGCAAAGAAGACUGGUAUUGUCGGAAAGUAUGGUAAGUAUCCUGAUUCUUGCUGCAAAUCUCUUAAUAUGAUAAAAAUUAUCUAUAAAAAUAUUUUUUGUUGUUAAGCUACAAAAAAUGAAAAUAUUUUACUUAAGCCAUCACAGCAAGUACUUCUGUGAGUUUUGUGGGAAGUGAAGAGAAAGGAAGUUGGAAUCUAGGGUUGCAAGAAUUGUGGGAAAGUCAAAGCAGGGGUCCAUACACAUUGAAUACUGCAAGUGUUGUUACAGUUAGGAUCACAAUUCGAAGGCUGAGGGAGGAAACUGAGAGUUAAGUAGAAGGUUCAUCAAUGUUCAGGCCUUUCAUUUACUCUUAUUGUAUUAGAUCCUGACAGUUUUGUUGAGAGUUAUUCAUGACAUGUUUUUUGUUUCAAGUAUUUUGGUUUUAUAAAUCAUGCAAGAAAUUUAGUUUUGGA